CCAGGCUUGAACAGCGAGUGACCAUUCCCGAAAGGGAACUUCCGCAAGGACACUCGUAGAGGUGCUGCAUGGCUGUCGUCAGCUCGUGUCGUGAGAUGUUGGGUUAAGUCCCGCAACGAGCGCAACCCUUGUUUGCUGUUGCCAUCAGGUUAUGCUGGGCACUCUGCAAAGACUGCCGGUGAUAAACCGGAGGAAGGUGGGGAUGACGUCAAGUCAGCAUGGCCUUUAUGUCUGGGGCUACACACGUGCUACAAUGGCCGGUACAAACCGUCGCGAUACCGCAAGGUGGAGCUAAUCGGAGAAAGCCGGUCUCAGUUCGGAUAGCAGGCUGCAACUCGCCUGCUUGAAGUUGGAAUCGCUAGUAAUCGCGGAUCAGCACGCCGCGGUGAAUACGUUCCCGGGCCUUGUACACACCGCCCGUCACAUCACGAAAGCCGGUUGUACUAGAAGUCGCCACACCAACCCGCAAGGGAGGGAGGCGCCUAAGGUAUGGUCGGUGAUUGGGGUG
rnacentral:rRNA from 1 species